GUAACACGUGGGUAACCCGCCCAGAAGUAGGGGAUAACACCUGGAAACAGAUGCUAAUCCCGUAUAACAGAGAAAACCGCAUGGUUUUCUUUUAAAAGAUGGCUUUGCUAUCAAUUUCGGAUGGACCCGCGGCGUAUUAGUUAGUUGGUGAGGUAAAGGCUCACCAAGGCAGUGAUACGUAGCCGACCUGAGAGGGUAAUCGGCCACAUUGGGACUGAGACACGGCCCAGACUCCUACGGGAGGCAGCAGUAGGGAAUCUUCCACAAUGGACGCAAGUCUGAUGGAGCAACGCCGCGUGAGUGAAGAAGGGUUUCGGCUCGUAAAGCUCUGUUGUUAAAGAAGAACGUGGGUAAGAGUAACUGUUUACCCAGUGACGGUAUUUAACCAGAAAGCCACGGCUAACUACGUGCCAGCAGCCGCGGUAAUACGUAGGUGGCAAGCGUUAUCCGGAUUUAUUGGGCGUAAAGCGAGCGCAGGCGGUCUUUUAAGUCUAAUGUGAAAGCCUUCGGCUCAACCGAAGAAGUGCAUGGAAACUGGGAGAC
rnacentral:rRNA from 1 species